GUGUCACUUCUAUAGCACACAUACUAAAAUUGGAAUGCUACAGAGAAAAUGAGCCUUAGCCCCCAUGCAAAGAUGACAUGCAAAUUCUGAAGUGUUCCAUAUUUUU